rnacentral:rRNA from 1 species
GACGAACGCUGGCGGCGUGCUUAACACAUGCAAGUCGAACGGAAAGGCCCUUCGGGGUCCUCGAGUGGCGAACGGGUGAGUAACACGUGGGUGAUCUGCCCUGCACUUUGGGAUAAGCCUGGGAAACUGGGUCUAAUACCGAAUAGGACCACGCGCUUCAUGGUGUGUGGUGGAAAGCUUUUGCGGUGUGGGAUGGGCCCGCGGCCUAUCAGCUUGUUGGUGGGGUAAUGGCCUACCAAGGCGACGACGGGUAGCCGGCCUGUGAGGGUGACCGGCCACACUGGGACUGAGAUACGGCCCAGACUCCUACGGGAGGCAGCAGUGGGGAAUAUUGCACAAUGGGCGCAAGCCUGAUGCAGCGACGCCGCGUGAGGGAUGACGGCCUUCGGGUUGUAAACCUCUUUCAAUAGGGACGAAGCGCAAGUGACGGUACCUAUAGAAGAAGCACCGGCCAACUACGUG